rnacentral:lncRNA from 1 species
UAGGGUCCCGAACCUGAGAUCGAGUUAGGGGUCUUUCGUGGAGGAAAGUGGAAGGUGUUCGUGAGGGUGAGGACGUGGUGUUCUUUUUGCGACCUAUCUUGAGAAAUUAGAAGACUCAAUUAGAGGGAAUCUCAAACCUCUGAGUUAAAGUACUCAAAACUGUAAUGAUUUCCAAGUUGAUCUCUUCAUUGAUAAUUAUUGAAUAUUUAUACAGGAUGUAAACCACCCUUUGCUACAUCAAUGGAAUCAUGACUUGAUCAUGGAGUCACAACCUCCUAAGAUAAUGGGAGUAACUACCUCCUAAGAUAAUGGUAAUAACUACCUCCUAAGAUAAUGGAAAUAACUACCUCCUAAGAUAAUGGUAAUAACUACCUCUUAAGAUAAUGGAAAUAACUACCUCCUAAGAUAAUGGAAAUGAUUGAAAGUGGAGAUACCCUCCUUACAUUGUGGAAACACUAACAAAUGCUUAAAGAAAAAUGCAACAACUAAAAAUAGAAACUAAACUGGUCAACCUUCAAUCCUUACUGCUUUCCCAUCUUCAGUAGGCUGUACACGUGGCUGUUUCUUCUGACUGUGAGUGUAACGUGUAUACACUUGUAAUGGCUUUGUAUCAAUACUUCCCGUCCCCUUAGGAAGCUUGUCCUCAAGCUUAAAAUGCGGAUAACGAUCCUGUAUAUCUUGAACAUUUUCCCAAGAGGCAUCAGUUUACUCACCCAGUGUUGUUGAGGGAAGGAAAGUGAGCGUUGCUCUAGUAAAAAUUUCAAGGUGUAGUGGUCAAUUCGCACCAGAAACUUUUUGCCCCAAAGAUAUGAUUGCCAGUGUUUAAUUGCUUUGACCAAGCCAAUCAGCUCCCUUUCAUAUGCCGGAAGACUAACAUGUCGGCCCGCCAUUGCUCGGCUAAAGAAGGCCACUAGUUUAUUUUCUUGUAGUAGCACAGCUCCAAUACCUGUGUCAGCACACUCAAGAACAAACAGUAGCUCGAAAUUCGGAAGAACUAAUAUGGGUGUGGUAGUCAGGGCCGUCUUCAAAGUUUCAAAUGCCUGAAUUGCUUCGUCAGUCCAUUGAAAAGAGUUUUUUCGUAACAAGGCAGUGAGAGGAGCAGCUAUAGUACCAUAGUUGAAUACAAACUUCCGGUAAUAGCCAGUAAGUCCAAGGAAACCCCGCAACCCCCGGAGAGUAACACGUCUAGGCCAUUCUGUGAUAGCUGCGAUUUUGGAAUUAUCCACCUGCACCCCCUUCUGUGAGAUUACAUGAAACAAGUAUGAAACCUGAGUUUGGGCAAAGGUGCACUUGGAGCGUUUCAAGAAUAAUUUAUUUUUUUCCAAGAUGUGGAAUACUUGACGAAGGUGCUGCAUAUGUUCUUCCCAAGAUUUACUGAAAACAAGGAUGUCAUAAAAAAAAACCAAUACGAAUUUACGGAGGUGUUCCUGGAAUACCUCAUUCAUUAAAGCUUGAAAAGUGGAUGGUGCGUUGGACAAUCCAAACGGCAUGACCAGAAAUUCGAAAUGACCGUGGUGAGUUCAAAAGGCUGUUUUUUCAAUGUCUGGUGGAUACAUGCCGAUCUGAAAAUAUCCAGAAAGCAAGUCUAAUUUGGUGAAGAACUUUGCCCCUCCCAAUUCGUCCAGAAGCUCAUCAAUAACAGGAAUUGGGAAUUUGUCUUUGAUGGUUUUGGCAUUGAGUUCCCUGUAAUCCACACACAAGCGCCAUGAUUUAUCAGCUUUGGGAACUAGAAUUACCGGAGAUGAAAAAGGAGAUCUGCUCGGGCGGAUGAUUCCUUGUUUGAGCAUAGCAGUACACUGGCGUUCAAUUUCAUCUUUUUGCCCAUGGGGAUAUCUGUAGGGGUGUACCACCACUGGUUUAGUGUUUGGUUCCAAAGGAAUACGGUGGUCACAGGAACGGGCGGGAGGUAGCCCUGUUGGUGGAUUAAAAAGAGAGGCAUAUUCAAAUAGUAAUUUUUGAAGUUGGGUAUCUGGGUCGGUAGCCGGUAAUAGAGAAUGAAGAUUAGGCUGCGUCCCUGAUCUAGAAUUUAUGCCGUAGAGUUCCACCUGUUUCCCUUGGACGAAGAAAGACAUCCACAUAAUGUUAAAGUCCCAUAGGAUGGGGCCCAGCGUUGUCAACCAAUUAACGCCAAGGACAAUGUCAAAGCCAGUCAAUUGCAAGACAAAUAAUUCCACCAUAAAAGUGGUAAAUCCCAAUUCGAUCGGUGCCCCCUUGCAAAUUCCAGGACUGCGGAGCUGUUUGCCAUUGGCGACAUUAACACGUAACCCAUCUUUCUCAUCCACUUCUGCCUGUAAUUCAUCAACUUUGGAAACAGAGACAAAGUUGUGAGUGCUUCCUGAAUCAACAAGGAUUAAUACCUGGGUUCCUUUCCAACGCCCCAGCAAACGCAUGGACUGUGGAUUGCGUGUUCCAGUAAUUGCGUGGAGAGAAAUUUCAGGUGGUAGAUCUGAGUCGGCGUCUUCCUCUGAAUUUGUUCCGUCUUCUAGAUCAAUCCAAAACAACCGUUUACAGUGAUGGCCACGCACAAACGGUUCAUCACAAUUAAAACACAACCCCUUUUUUCUCCUUUCAUCCAUUUCGUCUCUAGUGAGCCUUUUAAUUGUGCGGUUGUUGCGUGAAUCCGGAAGUGGAGAAUUGCGUUUGAUAUCUCGAGUGGUGGAGCUCCUGGUGUAAAGCUUCCGUUCAUACAAGCGAGACAUGCUCAUUGCUGUGACAAGAUCCUGUGGUUGGUGCAGCUCGACUUCAACAGAUAUGGAUUCCUGCAAGCCACUGAGAUACAAAUACAACUGAACCUUUUGGUUCUGAGUUAAGGUGCUAGCUCUGGAAACCAAAACUUCAAAUUUGUUUUGAUACUCCUCCACUGUGCCCGUUUGUUUUAAUUUGGCAAGUUCUCCCAGUUUGUUGCUUCGGAUAGGGGGUCCAAACCGCAAAUUGCAUUGGUUGACAAAUUCAGACCAUGUAGGAUUGGGAAUAUCUUGAAUCAUCUGUAAGUACCAUAGCUGUGCAAUUCCCUCUAGGUGGUAAGAAGCUAAACUCACCUUUUCCUCUUCAGGAGUGGAUUGGUGCCGGAAAAAGUGUUGACAACGGCUAAUCCAUCCCAAAGGAUCUUCCUGGCCAUUAAAGCGAGGGAAGUCAAGUUUCGUGAAUUUGGGCACAAUGACGUUGCCUCUCGAAGCUUCAGAGACUGUUGCUCCAAUAGGUCCUUUUUCGCGCCGAGUUUGAGCUUGACUUUCUGCACCUGGAGAAGAAGAUAGUCCCUUUCCGGCAGAUUCCAAUUCGAGAGACAUAGCCUCCAUUUUGGCGUGAAGCUGCUCAACCUUUUCAUGGCGGGCCUGAUUAGCUUGCUGUUCAGAAAGGACAAGGUUGAAAAGUUUUGUAAGUUGAUCUUGAACGGAUUCCCCCAUAACUGUUGGCUCUGAUACCAAAAUGUUAGGGUCCCGAACCUGAGAUCGAGUUAAGGGUCUUUCAUGGAGGGAAGUGGAAGGUGUUCGUGAGGGUGAGGACGUGGUGUUCUUUUUGCGACCUAUCUUGAGAAAUUAGAAGACUCAAUUAGAGGGAAUCUCAAACCUCUGAGUUAAAGUACUCAAAACUGUAAUGAUUUCCAAGUUGAUCUCUUCAUUGAUAAUUAUUGAAUAUUUAUACAGGAUGUAAACCACCCUUUGCUACAUCAAUGGAAUCAUGACUUGAUCAUGGAGUCACAACCUCCUAAGAUAAUGGGAGUAACUACCUCCUAAGAUAAUGGUAAUAACUACCUCCUAAGAUAAUGGAAAUAACUACCUCCUAAGAUAAUGGUAAUAACUACCUCCUAAGAUAAUGGAAAUAACUACCUCCUAAGAUAAUGGAAAUGAUUGAAAGUGGAGAUACCCUCCUUACAUUGUGGAAACACUAACAAAUGCUUAAAGAAAAAUGCAACAACUAAAAAUAGAAACUAAACUGGUCAACCUUCAAUCCUUACUGCUUCCCCAUCUUCAGUAGGCUGUACACGAGGCUGUUUCUUCUGACUGUGAGUGUAACGUGUAUACACUUGUAAUGGCUUUGUAUCAGUCUCAGUCCAUGCGCAGUGCCUAUUUUGCUCGUUCCAAAGAAAGAUAGACAACACGCAUAUGUGUUGGUUAUUGUGUGAUUAACAAAAUCACUGUAAAAUAUCGCCAUCCUAUUCCUAGAUUAGAUGAUAUGCUUGAAGAAUCAUGUA